rnacentral:lncRNA from 1 species
GGGCUUAUGAGUUUUGAGUCCAAAAAUCUUCUCCGACCCAUGUAUUUUGGGGGGUAAAAAUUUGAGAAAUGUCAAAUUUGGGGUGGAAUUCUAGUCCAAAUAUUGGUUGGACUGGUAUUUUAUGUGGGCCCAAACUCUACUUUUUCUACUCUUUUUUUUUUUGGCUUGGAAGCCCACUUAAAGACCAAUGUAUCCUGGGCCCCGCAUGACAUUUGCUGUCUGGCAUGCAUGUUAUGCAACACAGCUGGCCCUUGUGCAAGUUGAUUCCAUUCCAACGGCUAUAUUUUCAAAAGUUGUGCUGUGCUGUUUUUUUUUUUGUUUUUUUCCAAUAGCUAUGUUUGUAAUCAACGAUCAGGAUUAAUUUUAGGCAAUCUGAACGAUAAAAUUUCACAUCCAACGGCUCAAAUUUAAAUCCAACGGUCAAAAUAAUAUUUAUAAUUAAUCUAAAUCAGAUCCAACCUCAAAACUUAUUCCAAACUCUAUAAAUAGCCACUCAUUUGAUAAAU